rnacentral:rRNA from 1 species
AUUGAACGCUGGCGGCAGGCCUAACACAUGCAAGUCGAACGAGUGGCGGACGGGUGAGUAAUGUCUGGGAAACUGCCUGAUGGAGGGGGAUAACUACUGGAAACGGUAGCUAAUACCGCAUACCAUCAGAUGUGCCCAGAUGGGAUUAGCUUGUUGGUGGGGUAACGGCUCACCAAGGCGACGCUCCCUAGCUGGUCUGAGAGGAUGACCGGCCACACUGGAACUGAGACACGGUCCAGAGUCCUACGGGAGGCAGCAGUGGGGAAUAUUGCACAAUGGGCGCAAGCCUGAUGCAGCAAUGCCGAGUGUAUGAAGAAGGCCUUCGGAGUGUAAAGUACUGUCAGCGGGGAGGCGGUACCCGAAGAAGAAGCAACGGCUAACUACGUGCCAGCAGCCGCGGUAAUUC